rnacentral:snRNA from 1 species
UUGUUUCAGCUGCAUAUACACUAAAAUUUAACCAAUACAGAGAACAUUAACAUGGCCAUGGAGUAAGGAUGGCACAAAUUCAUAAAGCAUCUAUUUCGUGUCAU